UUCACAUGAUGAUUUGCCAUGCUAAUACUGAAGGAUCUUUAGGAUUCUACUGAGUUGAAAUUAAUCACAAACUGAUGAAU